rnacentral:rRNA from 1 species
CCUACGGGAGGCAGCAGUGAGGAAUAUUGGUCAAUGGCCGGAAGGCUGAACCAGCCAAGCCGCGUGAAGGACGAAGGUGCCAAGCAUUGUAAACUUCUUUUGUCAAGGGACAAAAUCAGGCACGAGAGCCUGAAUGAGGGUACUUGAAGAAAAAGCAUCGGCUAACUCCGUGCCAGCAGCCGCGGUAAUACGGAGGAUGCGAGCGGUAUCCGGAUUGAUUGGGUUUAAAGGGUGCGUAGGCGGACUGUUAAGUCAGCGGUAAAAGAGCGGUGCUCAACCCCGGCGAGCCGUUGAAACUGGCUGUCUUGAGAUGUCGAGAAGUAUGCGGAAUGCGCGGUGUAGCGGUGAAAUGCUUAGAUAUUGCGCAGAACUCCGAUUGCGAAGGCAGCAUACCGGCGGCCGUCUGACGCUGAGGCACGAAAGCGUGGGUAUCGAACAGGAUUAGAUACCCCUGUAGUC